rnacentral:lncRNA from 1 species
UCGUUGUAGGUACUACAUUAUCCCCAACACUACUUUGUCCUCCUGAAUGGUAGGUACUCGAUGCUCCUCUACCUACCACACACUCAUUAGCAUAAUGCCCAGGUUUCCCACAUCUAUAACAAACCUGCACUCUCGGUCCCCAACACUCUCCUGAAUGGGUCCUUCCACAAGUGCCACAAACGGGUCUAUAUCCUCUACCAGUAAACCCAGAA